rnacentral:lncRNA from 1 species
ACGUUAGUUUCGUUAUCCAUGUUUGGUCUUGGGGAUGGGUUUCGAAAGGGCCGCCUGCAGGAUGGCACCUUCUGUCGGUGGGGCAAUGACACUGUUCAAGUUUGGGACUGGUGCUGUCGAUGUGCUCGGCGAAAAUCCCUGGUGGGUCCCCUCCAGUCUAAGUAUUCUCUCGCUGAGGGCAACCAGACCCAGCUGGGGGUGCGCGAUCAUUUCUUGUACUUGAGAGAGGCCUGACUGUAUGUUGGAGCUCCGAAAGGAGUUCCAGAGUCUCGUCUUCCCUCGAGCUAUCCAGGGCGCGACGCUUCACUGCACCCGCCUUGGAGGGAGCCUUCGCCGUGUCCAUGGCCGACGAACUUGCGGCGGCCGGAGGAGCCGGCGGUUUGAGCGCCAUUUUUCGUAUUUCGGCUAUCUCGGUGGCUAGGCGACUGAUUUCCUGCUUGAAUUGAGCGUUUUCUUUCCUGAGACUAUCAUUGGCACGCCUAAACUCUUCGAGCUCGUUCGUGAGACGCGGGUCGUGCGAGUCUUGGGAGUUGGACGCCUGCGCUUGGUUGCCACGGGCGAAAAAUAAAUAUUGAAUAUCUUUAAGGUGGCUCAAAACCUGAUAUCUUAGCUGGAAAGUUUCUGAAUUCAGCAACACUGGGUGAUAUCCCCUACAAGUGCUGUCAUUGAUGCUUGAUGUUGACACUUGCUGUACAGGGACUAAGGGCCCUUCCAGCCCCUCCGUCCAGCAUGCCACCAGUACUUCCAAUGAGGGCACUGCCACCCCCACCGCCCAAAGCCCGCUUCUUGGAACCAACUCAUCGGUACAGACCCCGCGGCGGCCUCGCGAGCUGGCGCCAAGGCAACGGCGCUAUACCGCGCCCCCCGAAGCCCUCCUCUCCCUUGAGGAGUAUACCAAAGGUAGUGAACGGGAUCUCCUUGAUGGUCAACCCCAAUCUGGCGAGUCCAGCAAGCAUCCAGGCUCUGGGGCAACCUGGCGUGACUGCCUCUUCGGCACUCCUCCCACCCCCUGCAGCACCCGCUCCCAGUGCCCCUGAAAGCCUGCCUUCUCCACCACGCUCCUCCCCUUCUACCUACUGAUGAUGAUGGGAUGCUAAUGAGCUCAUCUUCUUCCACCACCACCGCUUCUUCCCUCGCAGAUCUGUUACAGAUGCCUCAUUCGAAAUCUUAAAGUAUGCCAACUGCAGCCUACUUUACUUCUUCUUCUCCCAGCUGACAGUACUUUUUAGAUUUCACCUGCCUUUCCACCUGGCAUUUUUUUCGUAUCUGAAUAUUCUCGGACUGUGUCUGCAGGUCAUUUUUUUUGCUUGCACAGACCAGUCAAACUUGUUUCCACCUCUGGGGCAUCUCAUCUUACCAGUGUUCCUCACUCUAAGGCAUUUCUCAUGGGCAGGUCAUGCAAAAAUGCUACAUUAUUGGCCAACUAGAGCUGCCUUAAAAUUUUCAGCGCUUGGCUAGGCUCCUUUUCUUCAUUAUGUCGAAAGUUAAGCAUUCUUCUUUUGCUCAGCAUACUUUUGUACCUGCAAAGCAAUUGUGGUUCAGCCACCCAAGUAUAGCACUUUCUUGUGGGGGGAGGGGAUUGUACAGGUUUAUUUGCCUGUUGCACAUAGCAUGAUUCUGCCUCUUUAGUUCGGUCACUUCGAUAGUUAAACAUUACUUUGUAUGGGAAAUAGCAAUGCACAACUGGAUAAUGAACAAAUUCGAGUGACCAAUAUGCUAAAUACUUAUACGGAAUACGUAAUCUUUCGUAGGAAUUCUGAGGAUGGAAUACCUUUACAAACAGUAGUUUUUUUUAAAGGACAAGCUUUAACCCUACAAUUGCCACGUGCACACAAAUCGGCGAUAGAAACAUUUUCAGGGGAUCUGACUGACGAGGCACAAUUGUGUUGUCUUCUACUGUUCAAAUCGUAAGCAAAAAAAAAAAAAAAAAAAUCUGCGCACCCUUUUAAAAAACGGGAGGGCAAGUGAUAUGUGCUGCUGUUAGCACGUACAGUCGAUUGUUAUUGAAUUGCUUCUUCAAGAAGUUUAUGUGGUGAUGUUCCGAACUGCACUGCAGCCAAAGUCUUGAUGUUGGAAGUCUUUGUCAUACGCUACACGUGGAAACGAGGCAGUGUUGAAAGUUACAAGAAGCUUUCUGUAGCACAAGCAUUGAUCAAAGGGUCAUUCAUGUGGAUGCAAUACUUUUAAAAGAUGUUAAAAAGAAAUGCUUCUAGUAAUUUUUUUUUUACCUUGCACUUGUUUCUCCUAAAGUGUUUGCAGCCACGUUGUCUCUGGAUAUUUGUGUGUGGAAUGUGUGUCCCUUGAUGUGGUUAUGUUUCAGCGGCAUCACUCUCAACUAUUUAUUUCAACUUCAGCCUUGCUGUUCAUGAUAUGCAACCCUAUUGGUUUUGAACAAGGCGGCUGCUGCUGAAGCGACACACACUGUUCUUACAAAUGUUACGCACACUGUAUGUCCAUGACCGGUUUCUCGAUUUUGUAACUGUACUUGUGUGCGGGUGCCGCAGGUGAAAAAUCUCGGCACUCGCAGAUAUCCAUUGCAGUUGACCCGAGAUUUCAGUUGCAUCUCUCCAUUCGGUACGUUUGCAAAUAUUCAAGUGCCAUUACACAAGCGGUGCAGUCUCGUAUUUGGGACAUAAAGGCGUGGACGUCUUGCUGAGCAACUGGCCGUUCCAUUCUUGGAAUGAUAUUGACAACUUACUUCUUCCGGUAAUUGCCUAGAGCGCACAAAUUGCAAAUGUUUGUAAGUGUCUCUGCCAUAGGUAACCAACCGUGCGCAACCAGAGCACACAAAACACAUCGCUCAAGAAGGCACUUUUCCUAUUGGGGUAGAAAAUUGUCGGUUUUAAAAGAUCUAGCACACAGAGUACCACUGAUUUAUUUUUCUUUUGUUUCUUAGUACGUGUAAAGUGCAGCUUGUCUGUCAGAAUUUAGUCCAGGCACUAUACUUAAUAUAAAACACGCUGUUCAAGCGCUGAAAGCCUGAAGGUCCCUAUGUUCUUUUGUUACGAGUUUCCUGACUCGUACCAAAGGGAUUUCAAAGUCAAAGCGGCAUGCGGGGAAACUGUUUACCCAUUUCAUGCGUGUAUCCAAACAUUUUUUUUUUUUUUUUGCUCUGUCCGUGAUCGGUGUUCCUUCUCUAGAGGCUCGCACAGUACACCUGCGUCUGUGAUUAUGGCGGGCAGCAUCACUCAUCUACUCAGUCGCUGCUUGCGCCUACUUUUUCUGUUACUGUGGUGCCAGAAAAGCUUUUGCGUAAACUGUUGUUACGGUUUUCGUGUAUCGUUCACGGCAGAAUGUGAUACUGUUUGCCUCAUGCGCAGGUAUUUUUGCGUAGCUGUUUUUUUUUUUACACAGUACAAAAGAAUAUUUUUUAGAAGGUCUGUGAUCGACAGCUAGUCCAUUCGCGUGUCAUAUAGCUAUUAAAAAAAAAAACUAUUGCCAUUGGGCAACGGACGCCUGCGUCGGUUGGCCUCGGAAAGUGAGUGAGCAGAUGCGGGAGGCAGAACACAAGAGUACUUCAGGAACAAUGCAACUCAUCCACACUGCAGUCAUUUCUUGAAAAAAGAUCAGACCCUUCACUUCAUGUGCAAUUGUCACUGUUAAAGCGUGCACAAUGUUUUGUAUGCGUAGUUGGCUUGUAUUGUUUGGCGGGAUGGCUCGUGUGUUAUGCUGAGAAGUGGGCAAUCCACACAUUCUAAUGCAUCUGCUACAGCGUUACGCCAAAGAAAGGGUGGUGUGCAAAAGUGUACUAUGUUUGCAAGAUAUUAUUUUUUUCCCUCACCAUUCCUCGUGUCGUCCUUUGUUUCAAACAUCUAUUUGUGCCAAGUAUCCAUAGUAUAUUAUUCCAUCUUGUUUGUGGUGGUCAUGAAAAGUAUGCGAAAGAAAAGACUCAGUCAUGAUCUCAGGUUUUUGCCGGAAGUGGAAGCUCUAUUUCUCGGCUGAUUUUCUUGCACGUGUACACCAAGUGCAAUUGUUUUGUGAGAGUUUUUUUUUACCUCUCUCUCCUGACUUUCAUGCAGUUUGUUUUUUUCUUCUUUCCGUGAGGCAGAGCAAGUGACUUUUCAUGUAUGGAAGAUGUUCUGACAUUGUAAUGUGGUGCUAAUCGCUUUUUUUUUUCCUCAUACCAAAUAUUUUUAUUCGUAUGGAAGAAGGAACAAUAGAGCAUUUUUUUAGCUAGCAUUUUUAUACAAGUGCUUUUUUUUUUCAAAAUGGAGAUUUUUUUUUUAGCAUCAAGUGGCUGGUGUGAAGAAAAAAAAAUUUUCUUGGCCCCUUCUCUGCCUCUAAUAUAAAGUGGCGCCGUUUUGGAGCUCCCGAAAUUACUGUUUACAAUGUGGAGCGUGUAUUUGCUGGUAUAGUAACAAUAAAUAAAAGUGAAUGAGCAUAAUC